UUUAAAUUCUUUUAAUAUUUGAAAAUUACUUCAUGUUUAAAUGUAAUAAUUGAACUGUAUGUGCAAAGGUUGGCAUCUAUUAACCCAGCCAAAUCGGGCCUUUGCCUUUGUGGAGAGUGACGCUUUGGCCAUCGUCGCUGUUGUCGUCAGAGCCAGGAUCAAGGUCAUCUGGCGAUAGCCGCCUUAUCGCCCAUCCAGCGGCUCUCGCACUGUUAUAUGGCCACACAGCAGCCACUACAAUGUCCACCGAUCUGAGCUGAACUGUCGCACCAGCUUUAUCAGGGGGUCCAGAGCCCAAGAGAUAGUUGUCGUUGUCGUUCUCAAGUUGUCGUUCUCAAGUUGUCGUUGUCGUUCCCAAGUUGUCGAUGUCGUUGUAUUGUCACUCAGUUGUGGAUCUUUCAGCGUAGCGAACAGAGUCAAUUCAGCAUGUGGUGGAGCCGUAAGUUAGCCACAAGGUGUCUCCGCCUCCAUCGGGGAAAGAGCACAACCCCUGGCACUGCUACCAACACUGGCGCCUCCAAAGAACCGGAGCAGACUCUGGGCAUCAUCGGAGUGCCCUUCGCCAAGGGGCAGGGCAAACAGGGCGUGGAACUGGCGCCGGAUCUCCUCCGGCAGAGCAGUCUGCGCCAGGUGCUCCAGAGCAGUCAUGAUGGCUUGGUAAUACGGGACUACGGAAAUCUGCAGUACGCCGUGGACGAGCCCCUGCUUCAGCAGCAGCGGGUGCACUACCAUCACAUUCGGAACUACGCCGACUUCAUGGCCUGCAAUCGGGCACUGAUCGAGCAGGUGAAACUGAUGCUGGCGGAGAACUCGCAGUUCCUGGCCAUUGGCGGUGAUCAUGCGAUCGGUUUCGGAUCUGUGGCCGGACACCUGCAACACACGCCGAAUUUGUCGCUGGUGUGGAUCGACGCACAUGCGGACAUCAAUCUGCACAGCACCUCGCAGUCGGGCAACAUCCAUGGGAUGCCCGUGUCCUUUCUGCUGGAACAGCUCCGGACCACCUGGCAGCACGCUGGCCUCCAGGAAAUCGCACCCAAUUGGUGAGUUCCGAAAUGAAUAUGCAUUUAACACUGGCUUGUGUACCAUGUGUUUUUGUGUUUGCUCGAAAAGAUUUCUUCACAAAUGUCCAUUAGCGGUAUAUAGGGCUAAAAGAGCUUCAUUACCACUUGGCCUAAUAGAGAUUUGUUUUAGAACACUUUUUCAGUUUUUAGUUAAAACACAAAAACACUAGACACAGUAGAAAACAACACAUAAUUCAGAAAUGAUCGGCUUACAGCUAGACAAGUCGCACUUAAGUCUCUCGGGGGGUUAUUUAUUCCAUAUUUUAUAUGUAUAUUAUAUAUUGUUUUUUUUUUUUUUUUUUUUUUUUUUGGGGGGGUGGGUGGCUUGGGUUGGGGGUUUUUGCUGGGUUGAGGGUUUUUUGGCGUGGGGUUUGGUCGCCUUAUCACAGUUGCCUUAACGAACUAAGAAUUAUUUGCUUUUUUUUUUUUUGUAUUCUUUGCUUUGACUCUCGUUUUUCGAUUUGUUUUUCUCUGGUUUCAUUAUUAUUUUUUGUGCUUGCCUCAGUCUUUGGGUUUAGUUGCUAUCAACCUUUCAUCUGCUUAUUUAUAGAUUAUUUAAUUUACACAUUGCUUUUUGCCUUGGGCAGUUCGGUUUCGUGCUUUUCUUCCAAGCUUUGGAAAGUCAGUCGAGACGGUAGAAAACAAGUUAACUGAAGAGCGAUCAAAUCAGAGAUCAGAGAUCACAGUUAAUAAAGGAACCCAAUCCAGGAAAUCCCCGGAAAUCAAACGAAAUUUGCCCAAGGAUCAGUUGGUUUACAUCGGACUGCGGGACAUUGACCCCUACGAGGCGUUCAUAUUGAACAAAGUCGGGAUACGC